rnacentral:sRNA from 1 species
AUAUUCGACUCCAAAAC